rnacentral:misc_RNA from 1 species
GAAAAUUUCAAUAGAAAAUUUAAUUGUAUUACAUUGCAUUACAUCCUACCAAAUGUAAGAAUUGUUGUUUUCUUAUCUCUUUAAGGAGAAACUUGGACUCUCAAGGGACAAGCCCACUAAAUUAAACUAAGAAAUUCAAAGCUCAUAUUCCAUAUGUCUAAUACUCCAGCAUACAGCAUCAAACAAUCAUACAUGGCAGAAAAUAGCAUAAAAAGACUAGUACAAGGAUCAACAAUAUUACCUUUACCUAUGUAAUCUAACCCCCAAAACUAAUACUAAUGCAUUCAAUAGCUCAAAACCACAUCAAAUCCUUAACGGCUAAAAAGAACCAGCAGCCAUCAAACAACCAAGCUUCAAUCAAAUUCCAAGUACUGCAAUGGCUAACAGAUCAAAUCAUACGCCGAAAUUUAGAAAACAAGAUAGCAAAACUAAUUAAUCCUUGGAUAUGGAGGAGAUAUCCAGAUUAAGCAACUAAAUCAACAAAAUCCAGCUAUUAAUAUCCAACCAAAACAAAAAUCAAUACACAUCUAUUACCGAACUUAAAUUACCAAAUCCAUUAUAAAAACGCAUUAUAAAAAACCUAAUCACCACCAGCUUUAUUGUAAACGUAAGUCAAGCCACACUUGCCGCAGUAGUGCCUAUCAAAAUGGUUGGCCAUGAAAGUCCCAGCUCCA